UACGAAGGGGGCUAGCGUUGCUCGGAAUCACUGGGCGUAAAGCGCACGUAGGCGGCUUCUUAAGUCAGGGGUGAAAUCCUGGAGCUCAACUCCAGAACUGCCUUUGAUACUGAGGAGCUUGAGUCCGGGGAGAGGUGAGUGGAACUGCGAGUGUAGAGGUGAAAUUCGUAGAUAUCGCAAGAACACCAGUGGCGAAGGCGGCUCACU
rnacentral:rRNA from 1 species